UACGUAGGGGGCAAGCGUUGUCCGGAAUUAUUGGGCGUAAAGAGCGUGUAGGCGGUCCGGUAAGUCUGCUGUGAAAGUCCAGGGCUCAACCCUGGAAUGCCGGUGGAUACUGCCGGGCUAGAGUCCGGAAGAGGCGAGUGGAAUUCCUGGUGUAGCGGUGAAAUGCGCAGAUAUCAGGAGGAACACCGAUGGCGAAGGCAACUCGCUGGGACGGUACUGACGCUGAGACGCGAAAGCGUGGGGAGCAAACAGG
rnacentral:rRNA from 1 species